GCUUUCGUGGUGUAAUGGCCAACACUCUCGGCGCGUGUUCGAGAGGUCCGUGGUUCAAGUCCCGGCGAGGACA
rnacentral:tRNA from 1 species